GGUGCGGAACCAGUGGCACAACAGCUUACUGCUCGUCCCUUAACUGAAACACCACCAUGAGCAUCAAUUUCUCGUUCAUGUGUGCUGUAGACUGCUAUUGUUGUGUCAUGGUAGCUCUGAGGGCCCUCACAGUUAGGUCGUUGGCUGCUUCUGUGAAACUGUACGUUCAUUGUUCUUCAGCAGAACAAAUAUUCAAGCUUCAAGCCGUAACUUCCGCUUCCACUGGCCUUGGUUGAAUCUUGAGAUAUAUUGGAUGUUACCCGUGUAUUUGUUGAUUUGCUGUUGGAUUGAACAUUUUCCAUCUUAUUUUGCAUGUUUUGCGUUCCUGUUCAUGUAAUGUGGUCUCUGGGAUAAAAAUUCAAAUUUGGUUUUUGGUUAAUUCCACAAGUUAAAACAGAUAGUUUGCCCAUGAAAGUAUGGUUUUAGAUAAUGUACAAACAUGCGCUUGCAUAUUUUUGCAUUAAGAAGUAAAGCAUGAUAUCAGAUAGUGCUAAAGGUCAAGUUCAAUACUAGACUACAGAUGAGGCAACUUUUACAACACAGGAAGGCAACAUGCACACUAGCUACUCAUCAUGAUGGUUCGCACAACCAUGCACACACUAGCUACUCCUCAUGAUGGUUCACACAACCAAAAGUUGAAAACCGGUUGCGACAGCUCCAUUUGUGCCUUGGUGUUGUAUACCACGGCCAGAAGGUUCAUCUUGUGCUUCAGAGUACUUCUAUGCAUAGAAAGCCGCAACCCUCCAAACUCCAAAGAGUUAGUUGCCAAGG
rnacentral:lncRNA from 1 species